UACGGGGGGGGCAAGCGUUGUUCGGAAUUACUGGGCGUAAAGGGCUCGUAGGCGGCCAACUAAGUCAGACGUGAAAUCCCUCGGCUUAACCGGGGAACUGCGUCUGAUACUGGAUGGCUUGAGUUUGGGAGAGGGAUGCGGAAUUCCAGGUGUAGCGGUGAAAUGCGUAGAUAUCUGGAGGAACACCGGUGGCGAAGGCGGCAUCCUGGACCACGACUGACGCUGAAUAGCGAAAGCCAGGGGAGCAAACGGG
rnacentral:rRNA from 1 species